GACGAACGCUGGCGGCGUGCCUAAUACAUGCAAGUAGAACGCUGAAGGAGGAGCUUGCUCUUCUGGAUGAGUUGCGAACGGGUGAGUAACGCGUAGGUAACCUGCCUGGUAGCGGGGGAUAACUAUUGGAAACGAUAGCUAAUACCGCAUAACAGUAGAUGUUGCAUGACAUUUACUUAAAAGGUGCAAUUGCAUCACUACCAGAUGGACCUGCGUUGUAUUAGCUAGUUGGUGGGGUAACGGCUCACCAAGGCGACGAUACAUAGCCGACCUGAGAGGGUGAUCGGCCACACUGGGACUGAGACACGGCCCAGACUCCUACGGGAGGCAGCAGUAGGGAAUCUUCGGCAAUGGACGGAAGUCUGACCGAGCAACGCCGCGUGAGUAAAGAAGGGUUUCGGAUCGUAAAGCUCUGUUGUAAGAGAAGAACGAGCGUGAGAGUGGAAAGUUCACACUGUGACGGUAUCUUACCAGAAAGGGACGGCUAACUACGUG
rnacentral:rRNA from 1 species